CAAUUCUCAUUCGUCCUCGUCCAAGACUCACCAGCCGCAGCCACGCGCCCACCGGAACUAGCCCAACAACCGAAAUCCCUCUCAGAUCUCGAACCGAAAAAACCCGAAAAACCCCAACUCACAAAGGACCAAGAGUUCGAAUAAAUCAAACACACACUGCACUCAACCCAACACCCAAACACUCACAAAGAGUCGGGACUCACAAAGAGUCGAAUCAGUCACGAAGAAAAGAUUUUGGAACAAGG
rnacentral:lncRNA from 1 species